rnacentral:ncRNA from 1 species
GAAAAAUUCCCGCCGGGGAAAUCGCAUGAAAUAUAUCAUUAGGCCUUAGAAGAUAUAUUCCAUGCUUUUUAUUUUUA